rnacentral:rRNA from 1 species
GAACUGUCUUAGAUAGCCAUGCAUGUCUAGUAUAAAUAGUAUACAGUGAAACUGCGAAUGGCUCAUUAAAACAGUUAUAGUUUAUUUGAUAAUUGAAUUCUACAUGGAUAACCGUGGUAAUUCUAGAGCUAAUACAUGCUGUAAAACCUGACUUUUUGGAAAGGUUGUAUUUAUUAGAUAUCAAACCAAUAUUCCUUCGGGUUUAUUGUGAUGAUUCAUAGUAACUGGUCGGAGCGAGGCUAGGCCUUGCUAAAUCAUUCAAGUUUCUGCCCUAUCAGCUUUCGAUGGUAGUGUAUUGGACUACCAUGGCUAUAACGGGUAACGGAGAAUUAGGGUUCGAUUCCGGAGAGGGAGCCUGAGAAACGGCUACCACAUCUAAGGAAGGCAGCAGGCGCGUAAAUUACCCAAUCCUGAUUCAGGGAGGUAGUGACAAGAAAUAACAACUCGGGGGUUUUCGCCUUUCGAGAUUGCAAUGGGUACAAUUUAAACCACUUAACGAGGAACAAUUGGAGGGCAAGUCUGGUCCCCCCGUGCCCCCGCCCCGCCCGGGGCGCGCCCCGGGCGGGGCGGGGGUACUUUUGUCCAGACAUUUCAUUAAUUGUUUCUUGUUAUGUGUUUUUCUUGUUCUUUUUCUUUUCCUU